rnacentral:rRNA from 1 species
GACGAACGCUGGCGGCGUGCCUAAUACAUGCAAGUCGAGCGGAGUUAGAGAAGCUUGCUUCUCUAACUUAGCGGCGGACGGGUGAGUAACACGUGGGCAACCUACCUUGUAGAUUGGGAUAACUCCGGGAAACCGGGGCUAAUACCGAAUAAUCCAUUUUGCUUCAUGGCGAGAUGUUAAAAGGCGGCUUCGGCUGUCACUACGAGAUGGGCCCGCGGCGCAUUAGCUAGUUGGUAGGGUAAUGGCCUACCAAGGCGACGAUGCGUAGCCGACCUGAGAGGGUGAUCGGCCACACUGGGACUGAGACACGGCCCAGACUCCUACGGGAGGCAGCAGUAGGGAAUCUUCCACAAUGGACGAAAGUCUGAUGGAGCAACGCCGCGUGAGUGAAGAAGGUUUUCGGAUCGUAAAACUCUGUUGUAAGGGAAGAACACGUACGAGAGUAACUGCUCGUACCUUGACGGUACCUUAUUAGAAAGCCACGGCUAACUACGUG